UCUUUAACAGACCGCCGUACCGUGAGGGUGCUGUGUUUCAGUCUCAACAAAUGCAAGUAAAGUGCUAAAUAACACUGACACUUGAUCGAGGUUAGGUUAAACUAUUAAAUCUCCUCCGUGUUGAGCGUUAAAUCAUUCGAAGUACGUGAUAUCGACCGAUUGAUUUGACUUGUCCGGUUGCUAUUUAAUCGAAUUCGCAACAAGAUUCUCACAAUGAGUAGAAAUAACAACAAAGAAGUACGAGUAAAGAGAGAACGUUCGCCAGAAUGGGGUAAACCUAGUAUUAGUGCGAAACGUAAACCAAAACAGGAAAAAGAAAAACCAAAUUUCGGAUUGUCUGGAAAACUAACAGAAGAUACAAACACUGUAAACGGUGUGGUUAUUAAAUAUUCCGAACCUGCAGAUGCGAGAAAACCUAAACGAAGAUGGAGGUUAUAUCCGUUCAAAGAAGAGAAAGCAUUGCCUAUCUUGUAUGUUCAUAGACACUCAGCUUAUUUAAUGGGCAGAGAUCGCAAAAUUGCGGAUAUUCCCUUGGAUCAUCCUUCAUGUUCUAAACAGCAUGCGGUUCUACAAUAUCGUUUAGUACCUUUUCAAAAAGAAGGUGGAGGCGAAGGGAAAAGAAUUUGCCCUUAUCUUAUAGACCUAGACUCUGCAAAUGGUACAUUUGUAAAUAAUGUAAAAUUAGAACCGAGAAGAUAUCACGAAUUAUUAGAACGGGAUGUAAUCCGUUUUGGAUACAGCACCAGAGAAUAUGUUGUAUUACACGAACAUAGUCAAGAUGAUUCGUCAGAUGAUUAACUAUUCCAAAUACAACUGCUGCUCGUUCUACUGUGUAUAUAAUAUCAAGAUGAUUCGUCAGAUGAUUAACUAUUUCAAAUACAACUGCUACUCGUUCUACUGUGAUAUUAGUUGGAAGAAGGUUCGAGAAAGAAGUUAUGACACAUAAUCACAUAGCUAUUUAGGUAUCGUCUACCACUAUAGCUAAGGCUAAUUUGUGAUUAUCCUUAAAUUGUACAAUGUAAGAUAUUAACUAGACUCAUGUAUAUAAUAUUUUUUACAUUUUAUCUAAUUAGAGAUGUAAGUUAAUUCUAAUAAGUUACAUGUUAAUUCUAAUAAGUUAAUUGUACAAUGUAAGAUAUUAACUAGACUCAUGUAUAUAAUAUUUUUUACAUUUUAUCUAUUUAGAGAUGUAAGUUAAUUCUAAUAAGUUACUUUUGAUGGAAAUAUAUAUAUUUAUAUAUAAUAACAAUUUGUUCACUUUAUUUACCCAGACCUGUUAAAUAAUAAAUUUUAUAUUGUGUAUGCAAUUUUAUUACGGUAUUUGCACAUUAGUAAAGACAUGUAUAUAUAAAAUAUACAAAAUUCAUACAAUAUAAUUAUUUUCUUAGUAAUAUAUUCCCUAUGACGAUGUUGAAGAUAUUUAUAGAAUUUGGUUUAUUUUUACUUCAAAGUUAUAAAGUUCGUAGGGGAAGGAACUAAUAUUAUACAUAUUAUAAUCAGUAUAUAAAAGUAUGUUUUUAAAUAGGAAGACUAUGAAAUAUUUUU